rnacentral:rRNA from 1 species
GACGAAGGAUGCAAGCGUUAUCCGGAUUCAUUGGGUUUAAAGGGAGCGUAGGCGGUCUUAUAAGUCAGUGGUGAAAGCUCCUCGCUUAACGAGGAAAUUGCCAUUGAUACUGUAGGACUUGAGUACAGUUGCUGUGGGCGGAAUAUGACAUGUAGUGGUGAAAUACAUAGAGAUGUCAUAGAACACCGAUUGCGAAGGCAGCUCACAAAACUGUAACUGACGCUGAGGCUCGAAAGUGCGGGGAUCAAACAGGAUUAGAUACCCUGGUAGUCCGCACUGUAAACGAUGAUUACUCGCUGCUGGAAGGUAACUUUCAGUGGCUUAGCGAAAGCGAUAAGUAAUCCACCUGGGGAGUACGCCGGCAACGGUGAA